AAAGCCUAAACUCGUUAGAGAUGUGAGCUUUGACUGGUCAGGCAUAGUACAUGGCUGUAAGGACCCAAUUAGGAAUUUAAAGGCACUGCUCAAAACAAGAAAGGUGGGUUGAUUUCAUUAGUAUUGGCAGGCAAGUCAUUGACAAGUUCACCACAGGAGGAACUCAUUUAGAUAAUAAAUCCUCACUGGUGUUUGCUAGGUUGGGUUUACUUCCUGUCCAAAAGAAAAACUACUUACUUUUUUCUUUCUUUUCUUCCCAAUAAUGAAGGUGGCUUUUGGAUUUUACACAAACAGACUGGAUUAUAGGUUUCACUGGAAAACUUUGGACAAACAAGCACACAAGUCCAGCACAGAUGUGUCGUUUUAACUUCAAAUGCUGGAUGUUUCAGUGCUGGAGGGAACAUCAGGAGUGCAAGGCAGGGAUGUAUUUGCUACAGCUGCUGAGAGCAGAACCCAUCAGAAGGCAAUGCUGAAUAAAUCCAGAAGAACACCGUGGCAUUAAUUGUGCACCGUGCUGAGCAUACCUACUGUGGCAGAAGGUGACUCCCACCCCAGUGAUGGAUGGAAUCCUGAACAAACUACAGCCUCCUCAUGUUUCACCAAUGUACAAUUGCUUAAAGCUGCAUGCUGUAGCCUAAUUCAAAUUACUUGAAUUUAAAUGGUAAACACAGAAUCAUACAAAACAAGUACAAAGCAAAGGAACCUACCACUGUCAUUUCUCUUUUGAAGUGCAUUAACACCUUUGGAGGAAAUAUCUUGAGACAUGGAGGAAAAACAGAAUCAUUUGCUUAUGAAAAAAAAAAAGGUGUUAGGUCUUUUUAAAAGUGACCAGCCUUUUUUUAAAAUUUUAAUUAUAUCUUAAUGCAUAAUAUAAAUGGGGGUAAUAUAUUAAUUAUUAAGGGCUCAGGUUUACAAGGAGUGUGAAACAGUAAUGUAAUCCUCCUGAAUAAUGUUGUCAGUGUUGGUCCCAUGCGUUUUAUACAUGUGCAAAAUUAGGUAGAAACCACCUUAACUGUUUUCCUUCUUAUUAAACAGUCUUCCAAAAAUCUAUAAUUCAGUGAGACAUUAAGCAGUUGGCAUUUGUUGCUAUACAAUCCAGUUCCACAAGUCCCACUGUGAAUUCAGCGGGGCAUUCGGCACUAGCCAGCUUCUGUUAUCAGUAACUCUACAUGAAAGAACUUGCAUUUUCCUGCUAAUGAAACAAACAGAAAAAUAAUAAAGUUGUUCAGUGUUUUAAAACCUUAGUUUGA
rnacentral:lncRNA from 1 species